rnacentral:lncRNA from 1 species
GCGGCGGAAGCGCGGGCUCAGGCGGCGGACUAGUGGCCCUCGGCUGAUCAGGCGGCGGCAUCAUGGAUACUGACUUGUAUGAUGAAUUUGGGAAUUAUAUCGGACCAGAGCUUGAUUCUGAUGAAGAUGACGAUGAACUGGGAAGAGAGACAAAAGAUCUUGAUGAGAUGGAUGAGGAUGAGGACGAGGAUGAUGUGGGCGAGCACGAUGAUGACCACCCUGGGAUGGAGGUGGUGCUACAUGAGGACAAGAAGUACUACCCUACAGCCGAGGAGGUGUAUGGCCCUGAGGUGGAGACCAUAGUCCAGGAGGAGGACACCCAGCCCCUCACAGAGCCUAUUAUAAAGCCAGUGAAAACCAAGAAAUUCACUCUGAUGGAGCAGACAUUACCUGUCACGGUGUAUGAGAUGGAUUUCUUAGCAGAUCUGAUGGACAACUCUGAGCUCAUCCGAAAUGUGACCUUGUGUGGCCAUCUCCACCAUGGCAAGACCUGUUUUGUAGAUUGUUUAAUAGAACAGACGCAUCCGGAAAUCAGAAAGCGCUAUGAUCAAGAUCUAUGCUAUACUGACAUCCUCUUCACAGAACAAGAGAGGUCCUGAGUUCAAUUCCCAGCAACCACAUGGUGGCUCACAACCAUCUGUAAAGAGAUCCGAUGCCCUCUUCUGGUGUAUCUGAAGACAGCUACAGUGUACUUAUAUAUAAUAAAUAAAUCUUUAAAAAAACAAAACAAAAAACAAGCCAAACAAAC